GUAGUAUAAAAUGUGGUAGUUUAGAAAGCAGGCAACUUUAAUAUUCUGACCUGAAAAAAUGAUCAGAGUUGUGGAAAGCAGGGGAAGAAAGUUCUGUCUGCCUCCCACCCUUCCACCUCCAAAAUGUGUGAUUGUCUCCAGAAAAACUAUGUCUUCCUGAACAUGACAAAGUCAACACUUUUUAAAAGUUUCUCAAGACUGAGUGAACAGAUCUCAGUAAAAAUAAAAAAAAAUGGCUGGCAAAUGUGAACAGUACAGUAUUGAACUAUUUCAAAACAAUAGUUCUGUGAUCCACUUAAGAACAAUAAUUCUCAAACUGAAUUCCACAGAGCACCUGGGUCAGAAUCAUCAGAGUGUUUGCUGUCAUGUUAGAUCUGAGGAGGAGUUCGUGUCAGGGUUCUAUUUGCAGGUGUGACUUUCAUAAAUAGACAAGUUUACCGGUAGGUUAUUGGGUAACUCAGAAAGUAAACAUAGAGGCUGGAAACCGAGAUUUGGAGAACAAGCAAAAAUCAAUGACUUUGGGCAGCAGAGUCCCGCCGUCAGAUUCCACGUCUGGCAAGAUUCCUCCUGUGCUUCAGUCACUGCCUCCACUCGUUCUUGAUGCCAUAGCUUCUCUUGUCCCUGAAAGUAACUUCCCAGUCAGUUUUAAAUUUUUCAGAAUUCAUUUUUGGACCAUUUCAAAUGGCAGUCUAAAGGAAAUAUCCAGACCAGAUCUGCCAACGAAUGACUGCAGGAAAGAAGAAAUUAAUAUAUUUCUUCAGGAGACUGAGAGGAACCAGGAAAUGUUUGAGUUUACCUCCCCCCUUAUAAUAGUAUAAAAGAAACCUGAAUUCUAACUCAGGCAAAAUGGUUCUUUGAGACACUAGUACACCAUCCUUUCAGUCUUCUGGCUUUCUGCAUAAACUCAUUAUUCCUG
rnacentral:lncRNA from 1 species